rnacentral:rRNA from 1 species
GACAUAGGUGGCGAACGUUAUCCGGAUUUAUUGGGCGUAAAGAGCUCGUAGGCGGUGUGUCACGUCGGCCGUGAAAACCUGGGGCUUAACUCUGGGCGUGCGGUCGAUACGGGCAUCACUAGAGUUCGGCAGGGGAGACUGGAAUUCCUGGUGUAGCGGUGAAAUGCGCAGAUAUCAGGAGGAACACCGGUGGCGAAGGCGGGUCUCUGGGCCGAUAUUGACGCUGAGGAGCGAAAGCGUGGGGAGCAAACAGG